rnacentral:rRNA from 1 species
UUCGACCUGAACUCAGACGUGAG